GUUCCGUUGAUUGACGUGCUUGCACUGAUUUCAACAUUGGAACGAGUGGCGAACUGGUGAGUAACACGUGGAAAACCUGCCCAGAAGCAGGGGAUAACACUUGGAAACAGGUGCUAAUACCGUAUAACAACAAAAACCGCAUGGUUUUUGUUUGAAAGGUGGCUUCGGCUAUCACUUCUGGAUGGUUCCGCGGCGCAUUAGCUUGUUGGUGGGGUAACGGCUCACCAAGGCGAUGAUGCGUAGCCGACCUGAGAGGGUAAUCGGCCACAUUGGGACUGAGACACGGCCCAGACUCCUACGGGAGGCAGCAGUAGGGAAUCUUCCACAAUGGACGCAAGUCUGAUGGAGCAAUGCCGCGUGAGUGAAGAAGGGUUUCGGCUCGUAAAACUCUGUUGUUGAAGAAGAACGGGUGUCAGAGUAACUGUUGACAUCGUGACGGUAUUCAACCAGAAAGCCACGGCUAACUACGUGCCAGCAGCCGCGGUAAUACGUAGGUGGCAAGCGUUGUCCGGAUUUAUUGGGCGUAAAGCGAGCGCAGGCGGUUUCUUAAGUCUGAUGUGAAAGCCUUCGGCUUAACCGAAGAAGUGCAUCGGAAACUGGGGAACUUGAGUGCAGAAGAGGACAGUGGAACUCCAUGUGUAGCGGUGGAAUGCGUAGAUAUAUGGAAGAACACCAGUGGCGAAAGCGGCUGUCUAGUCUGCAACUGACGCUGAGGCUCGAAAGCAUGGGUAGCGAACAGGAUUA
rnacentral:rRNA from 2 species